GACUCCAUAGCUCAGCUGGAUAGAGCAACAGCCUUCUAAGCUGUCGGUCGUUGGUUCGAAUCCAACUGGAGCCA
rnacentral:tRNA from 1 species